rnacentral:rRNA from 1 species
AUUCCAGCUCCAAUAGCGUAUAUUAAAGUUGUUGCAGUUAAAAAGCUCGUAGUUGGACUUCUGAUUCGAAAGAUCGGUCCGCCGCAAGGCGAGCACUGAUUCUUCGAGUCUUCCUCUCGUAGUUGUUUGGCGCACUUGAUUGGGUGCCAGAUGAAUAUGGGACCUUUACUUUGAAAAAAUUAGAGUGUUCAAAGCAGGCAAUCGCUUGAAUACAUUAGCAUGGAAUAAUAGAAUAGGACUUUGGUUCUAUUUUGUUGGUUUCUAGGGCCGAGGUAAUGAUUAAUAGGGACAGUUGGGGGCAUUAGUAUUUAAUUGUCAGAGGUGAAAUUCUUGGAUUUAUGAAAGACUAACAACUGCGAAAGCAUUUGCCAAGGAUGUUUUCAUUA